rnacentral:tRNA from 1 species
GCGGUAGUAGUAUAGUGGUUAGGGGAUUAAUAGCCAUCCGACCUUUAUGCGGCCUUGCCAAGGCUGUGACCCGAGUUCAAAUCUCGGCUACCGCA